GACCAACCAUCCUGGUUUGCCUGGGACUGAGGGGUUUCCCAAGAUGUAGGACUUCCAGUGGUAAUACUGGGAAUGU
rnacentral:miRNA from 1 species